AAACCUGGGGGAAAUGAACAUUUUACCUCAGUAACUCAUGCUGUAUGGUCUGUGGCCAUAUGUCUAUUUUUUAGACUCCAAACUAGUUUUACUUUUUCCCAAUAAACAAAAAAUUGGGAGGGAGUCUGGUACAGUGUUUUUAAAAAAUAAUCUAACUGAACUAGUAAGUCUAUGAAUUCCAGUUUUCAGUUAGCAAAUGUCAGGGGGAAAUCAUCCCUUAUGCAUUCCUAUUUUACAUUACCUCCUUAUUUCAGCCCCUACCAUUAGAUAAAAUGGAAAAGGUAAAAAUAUCUUUAAAUAUCUUCUCUUCUCUUCCUCCCACUCUGUAGGUUACAGAAUAGAGAAAGGUCAGGUACAUCUUCUACUUCACCAAUAAGCAUAAAAUAGAAAAAUGUUUAGGAAACAAAAAGGAAGUAAAUAUCGGUUUCCUACCAUUCCAUGUGAAAACAAGCUGUGAAGAACCAGAUGACCACUGUGAGUUUUCAGUGACCUUAGGAACUUACAGUCUAGUAGGAAACAGACGUUAUUCAAAUAAUCAAAGAAAGCUGUAACUGCAUAUUUACAUAAUGCUCCUAAAAGGAAUAUGAUAUAAAACGAAGAUGAAUUUAUCUAGGGCCGCGCCUGGCUGAUAAUCCCUUUUCUGUAUCAUUUAAAGUCGUUCUGCUUCCCAGAUCAAACUGUGAUACAAUUCCCAUUAAGAAAAAAUAGGUAAAAACAAUGAUUACAGAAAAUGUAUAACAUUAAAUUUAUGUAAAAUUAUGUGUGAAUAUAAGUAUAUAAAGCAAUUAAGGAAGGUUUUCCAGAGGAAGUAGUGGCUGCUCUUCCCAGAAGAAGGAUGCUCCUUCGUCAGAGAUCGGUAUUUGCAUGGACAUUGAAGAAACUUAAGGAAGGUCAUGUGUCUGAAUGGGUUGGGGGAGAAAAGAGAAGAAAAGACGACAGAAUACACGGAGAGGGAGGGUAAGGGCAAGGAAAAGGAACAGAGUGAAGACAAGAACAAAGAAUGGGGGAUGGGGGGAAGAAAAUUAAAUAAAAGGCAGAUUUGACGCCAGGAUGAGAAGUAGGUAGGGAUCAGACUACACAGCUUAGGACAUGUUUUAAAACUGGGUCUUUAUUCUAAGAACCAGAGGAGAAGUUCACCAUAUGGUUUUAGCACAAUCAUAUAUGUAUGUUUGCAAAGGUCACUCCAAGGACUUCCAAUUAAAAUGAAGAUUAAACACCCAUUUAUCUCUGCUCCCUUUCAACAGCCCAUCAAAUUGACAGUAAAUACCUAAAAAAGGGUAUAAACACAAGGACAAAGGGAUCAGAAAAAGCAACAAUAGUGAACAAGAGAUAAUCAUGAACAUCUGGAAUGCAGAGGCAGAUAGGUAAGUGGGAUGACUUAGUAGACCUGACAAAACUGAACCCUAAUUCUACAAGGGAUGUGGGAAGAGGGUGCCCACAGGAAUCAAGCAACCCACACUGGCGUAGCUCAGAAACUGAAGCCACAAAGGACUACUAAAAGUGCAAGUUUGGACUGAGGCUGAAAACAGGAGAACUGAGAAAAGGUUCUAUAAACAGCAAACAGAUAACCCAUCUCUCAACCCCACUGCCACCUGUCUGGCAAAAAUCUGGAGGUUUUACUUUCUAAAAAGGGUGAAAGAGAGAAGCUUGAGCCUCAGGGAUGCCAAGCAAACCAGAAGAUGAAGAGCUGAGGAGUGCUGGAUGACACCCUAUUCAACAAAUGCUUUCCCUCUGUGUGGUUCCCAAACCCUGGCUGUCAGGCUUAUACCACAGACAGUAGAGGUUGGAAGAUUCUUUUCAGGGGAUGCUGACCUGUCCAAGACAAAUGAUAAUCCUUGACAGUCUAUCAAAAACAAACAAAAAUCAUGUAUAACAACAUCACACUGCUUUAUCACAGAGAAAGGUUCAACAUUCUAUAAUCCCUGCCCUCACAAAGGCUUCCCAUUGGCUUUUUAGGACCUUAUUUUUAAUACAAAUGGACAGCUAAGUAUCAGAAAUCUUUUGUUACAAAACAAAACAAAAUAAAGCAAACUCUUGUUUCCUAUGAGAUACUGCAGGGAAUGGAACAAAACUUAAAACUAAGACAAACAAAAACCAACCACCAGCAAAAAUCUAUUAACUGACGGCCUCAGAGAAACAAGAAUUAGAUGGUACAAGACAAACAUUCAGAAAACAGAAUUGUUCUUGGAAAAUAAAAAUAUGAUAGCAGAAAUUUAAAAAUUCAAAGAAUUAGAAAAAAAACUUUAAUUUUAGAAAAAUGCAGUUGAGAUAACUGCCCAGAAAGUAGAACAAAAAAAAUUAGAGAUAGAAAAUAGAAGAGAAUAUUUGAAAAUCAAUUGCAAAGGUCUAACAUCUGAGCGAUGAGAAUUCCAGGACAAGAAGUUAUUAAAGAAACAAUGAAGACCAUGUCCCAGAACUGAAGGACGUUAAGUUUCCAAGAUUAAAGGGGUUCACCUGUUAAUCCAUCAUUAUGACUCAAAACCUACACCAAGGAACAUCACUGUGAAUUUCUGAACAUCAGUGACUAAACAAACAAACAAACAAACAAACAAAACCCAAAAGCUUGGAGGAAGGAAAGGAUUUAUAAAGAAAAUGCCUUUGAAUCUGCCUGGAAGUUAAAAGGAACAAUGCUUCAAAUUCUGAACUAUCAUCACUAGUACUUACCUAUGUACUGAAAGUACCCGCUAACACAACCACUCAAGAGAAAUUAAAAGUAUAGAAACUGGGAAGGAAACUAUCAUUAUUUGCAGAUAACACCUGGGAAACUCAAAGAGAAUUUACUGAAAACGACCCAAACAAUAAGGUACCAGAGCAUAAAAUUUAAAGAAAUCAAGAAUUCUCAUAUAUACCAGUAACAAGAAGACAGAAUGGGGGAAAUUUUCCCACUUAUAAUAGCAACAAGAUGAAAUACCUAAGAAUACACUCAGUAUUGCUAUAACUAUAUAAAGAACAACUUAAAUACUACUGAAGAAUACAAAAGUAGACAUCAACAAAUAGAAUGACAUACCAUGAUCUUGGUUACGAUGACUCAACAUCUAAAAUCACAAAUGUUCCCAGAGUUUAAACACGAUAAAUAUGCUAUCUUCCCUAUGAAGAAACCAUCAGGUUUAUUGAUUUUUUUUUAACUAAAGAAGCUGAUUCUAGAAUUUGUACAGAAAAUUUAAUAGUAUUAGGAAAACAACAAAGUGGUGCCCAAUGAAAUGGAGAUGGGAAAGAAUACUGCUAGAUUUCAAAAUUCAAUUUCAUGAUUGAAUUAAAAUAGUAUGGAAGAGGUGUGGCUUCAAAAACCAGUGGGGAAAAGCUAGAUUGUUCGACUAUUCAAUAAACAGCUUUUGGACUACUAGGUAGUCUUGGGGACAAGGGGAGAUGGACUUACACCUUACACCCUAUACAAUUUCUAACCACAUAAAACAUUUUUAAUAUGAAGAAAUGAAACCACAAAUGUUCUGGAAAAAACCAUGAAAUAGUUCCUUCAUAAUCUUGGAGUAGAAAGAGGCUUUCUAACUAUGAUUCAAAAUCCAGAAGCAAAGAAGAAAUUUGGUCAGUUACAGACAUAUACAAAUGUCUCCAAGGGUGGGGAAUGAGCAGUCAAAAAAAAAAAAAAAAUCACAAAAAGAGUGAAUCUCUUUAGCUCUUAUAUAUCAAUAAGAAAGACAAGCAAUCCAAUUGAAAAUAAAAAUGGGCAAAGGAUAUGAAUUGAACAGGACAUAAGAAUGGAUCAAUAGCAUAAAACAGACCCUCAAACAUGCUUGUUAAGAGUACAUAGAACAUAAAACUGCAUUUAAAUUCAAUUUUUCACCUACAAGGUUGACAAAAAUCUAAGAGUUUGAAAAAAGUAUUUUGGUGAGGCAGUCUCACGAAUUACACACAUGGGUAAACUAUUCUCCAAUAGCUAUGAAAUUAUAGUGGCACACCUACUGACCUAGCAAUCACAAUUGGCCUAUAUUUACAUAUAUAUAAGAUUAAGUAUGCACAAGUUAGUCCCUACAGUACCGCCCACCCUAGCAAAGGACUGAAAACAGCCCAAAUGCCCACCUAUAGGGAACUGGGGAAUAAACUAUAACACAUCCAUAGGAUAAACUACUACCAGGCCAUUAAAGUAUGAGGAGACACAUAGCAUAGUGGUUAGGAGCACACACUCUGGAACCAUACUGUCUAGACUGGAGUCCUGGAUCAUAUACUUAUUAAUUACGCAACCUUUGUUCAAGUUAUUUAACCUCUCUAUGCUGCAAUUACUCUGUUAAAUAGGAAUAACAAUGGUAACUCCAUCAUAGGGUUGUUAUGAGGAAUAAGUCAGGUCAUAUUUGUAAACUAUUUUGAAUAGUGCUUGGCAUAUACUAAACAUAUCUAAAUAGAAAGAUUUCUAAAACACGCUGUUAUGAUAAAAUAUACUGUGUAUGGUUUACAAUUUUUAUAUAUUUAAAGGGGGAGGGGAUAAGAAUAUAUAGUUGUAUUUGUAACUCUGGAAUAAUACAGAAGAAACUAAAAAUAUAGACUGAUGGGGGAAACUGGGAAUAGAUAUUGGGGAUGUCAGGUAUGAAAGAGAGACUUUUACAGUUUUCACUGCAAACUUUUCCUACUUUUUACUUUAUUCAUAGACAACCUAUUUAAAAAAUUUAAUUAAUAAGAAUAAUUUCCUGGCUGGGCACAGUGACUCAUGCCUGUAAUCCUAGCACUUUGGAAGGCUGAGGCAGGUGGAUCACCUGAGGUCAGGAGUUCGAGACCAGCUUGGACAACAUGGUGAAACCCUGUCUCUACCAAAAAUACAAAAAUUAGCUGGGCAUGGUGGCAUGCGCCUGUAAUCCCAGCUACACUGGAAGCUGAGGCAGGAGAAUCGCUUGAUCCUGGGAGGCGAGGGUUGCAGAGAGCCAAGAAUGCGCCAUUGCACUCCAGCCUGGGGGAUAGAGCGAGAUUCCCUCUCAAAAAAAAAAAGGAAAAAUUUUCUGAGGACAAUCUAGAAUUUAGUAUGCAUUCACAGUAUCAAUAAUGUGUGAAAGUAGAAUAAUGCCAUUUUCAAACUUGCAAGACUAAAAAAACUCACCUUUUUCAGGAAGCUACAAGGACAUGCUCCAUUAAGUCAAAAUAAAUAAAUAAAUAAAUAAAUAAACAAACCAAGGAAUAAAGCAAGAAAACAGGGUAUCCAACACAGAGAGAUAAUGAGAAUUCCCAGAUAAUACUGAAGGGAAGUUCCAGUUCUAAAGUGUAAGCACGUGCAGGCUUAAAGCAUAACCAGCCCAGAUAGGAACAGGAAGUGCAGAGGAUCCAGAGCCAAUUCUCUAGGUGGGAGGGAAAAAAAGGAACUGAUAGGUUACCUAUUUUUGACCGCAUGGGAGAGGUGUUUUGUAACACUAAAUACAGAUUCAACUCAUGUGUGCAUGUGUGUGUGCACGUGCGUGCACGUGUGUAGGGAAGAGGAUGAGUCAUUAGCUGAAUUAUAUAUUGGGGGAAUCAAGAAUAGAACUAUAAGCAGACAUUUUAAAGUAAAGAGAUAAAUGCUAGAAGAAACAGCUAAAAGUUUAUUAAAAAUGGUUUAACAUAUAUUGUUAUGUUCUCUUCACUUAGAAAAAUUAUUAGGGAAGACACUAAAUGAGUCUUUCGACUUUGAAGAAAAGCAAGUGGACUUGAAUUCCAUGGGUGUAAGCUCCAGAAGAUGGGAAUUUUGUUCACCUCAUUCAAAGUAUCCUGCAUUUGGCAUAUAGUAGUCAUCAUUUUUGUGGAUAAAUGAAUAGCUAUACCCAUGUGAAUAAACUAUAUCUUAGCAAUUCA